UACAGAGACUGCAAGCGUUAUUCGGAUUCACUGGGCGUAAAGGGUGCGCAGGCGGCCAAGUGUGUCAGGUGUGAAAUCCCGGGGCUUAACUCCGGAACUGCGCCUGAAACUACUUGGCUAGAGCAUUGGAGAGGGAAGUGGAAUUCACGGUGUAGCAGUGAAAUGCGUAGAUAUCGUGAGGAACACCAGAGGCGAAGGCGACUUCCUGGCCUGUUCUUGACGCUGAGGCGCGAAAGCUAGGGUAGCAAACGGG
rnacentral:rRNA from 1 species